rnacentral:rRNA from 1 species
UGGGGAAUAUUGCACAAUGGGCGCAAGCCUGAUGCAGCGACGCCGCGUGGGGGGAUGACGGCCUUCGGGUUGUAAACCUCUUUCGCCUACGACGAAGCGAGAGUGACGGUAGUAGGAGAAGAAGCACCGGCCAACUACGUGCCAGCAGCCGCGGUAAUACGUAGGGUGCGAGCGUUGUCCGGAAUUACUGGGCGUAAAGAGCUCGUAGGCGGUUUGUCGCGUCGUCCGUGAAAACUUGGGGCUUAACUCCAAGCUUGCGGGCGAUACGGGCAGACUUGAGUACUGCAGGGGAGACUGGAAUUCCUGGUGUAGCGGUGAAAUGCGCAGAUAUCAGGAGGAACACCGGUGGCGAAGGCGGGGUCUCUGGGCAGUAACUGACGCUGAGGAGCGAAAGCGUGGGUAGCGAACAGGAUUAGAUACCCUGGUAGUCCACGCCGUAAACGGUGGGCGCUAGGUGUGGGUUUCCUUCCACGGGAUCCGUGCCGUAGCUAACGCA